AACGAACGCUGGCGGCAGGCUUAACACAUGCAAGUCGAACGCCCCGCAAGGGGAGUGGCAGACGGGUGAGUAACGCGUGGGAAUCUACCCAGAUCUACGGAACAACAGAGGGAAACUUCUGCUAAUACCGUAUACGCCCUACGGGGGAAAGAUUUAUCGGAUUUGGAUGAGCCCGCGUAAGAUUAGCUAGUUGGUGAGGUAAUGGCUCACCAAGGCGACGAUCUUUAGCUGGUCUGAGAGGAUGAUCAGCCACACUGGGACUGAGACACGGCCCAGACUCCUACGGGAGGCAGCAGUGGGGAAUAUUGGACAAUGGGCGCAAGCCUGAUCCAGCCAUGCCGCGUGAGUGAUGAAGGCCUUAGGGUUGUAAAGCUCUUUCAGUAGGGAAGAUAAUGACGGUACCUACAGAAGAAGCCCCGGCUAACUUCGUGCCAGCCGCCGCCGUAA
rnacentral:rRNA from 1 species